rnacentral:lncRNA from 1 species
AUUUUACUUUUGAGCCCAUGAAGAAGAUUUGAAGCCAAUGAAGAAGAUUCGAAGGCACCUUUCAUAAAGAGAAGUGAGUGGGGGCAACAGAGACCGCCACCAUCUGCUGCCUCCCAGAUAUGAGGAUAAAAAAUAUGGCAUAUUGUUUAGAAGUAAGGAUGGAAUGUGGGACAACAGAGGCAGACUCAAGAGUCUGGAACGUUGUUUUAGGAUCACACAAAAAGAUACAUGAUUUUUAAUUCUUUGUUGUAGGGGCUGUCCUGCACAUUGUAGGAUGCUUAGCAACGUCCCUGGAUUUUAUCCACUAGAUGCCAGUAGCAGCCCCUCAC